AGACACGCCAGCCCCGCCGCCACAGCACAGGGUUCUGGAGGUCGAGCUGUUCUGCGGGUUCUGCGGCGGCGCUGGGAAGAGACGGCGCCCGGGCAGCUCCCCUGUCACCGGCUUGGAGGAGCGGCGGGCUCCCCUAGCCCAGCGCCGCCGCCGCCGCCCGGGAACGCCAGGCUCACCCCAGCUGGGGAAGCUCCGAAUCCCUCAGAUCGGCGACCUGAGUGCUGUCGCCCCGAGAAAAUGGAGGCAUCGAGCAACGAGCUGUGCUGAGACCGAGAGACCUCAGUUCUGCGAAAUGUCGGUGCCUGGAGCUUGCGAAUGACUGCGGCCGGCGGGUUGUCAAGGACAACAUUCCUUAUGGCGCAACCAACAGCGCUGUCACCAAGAAACUGGACUCUGAGAAAAAAGAGGGUUUCGGCCACCGAGAAACUCCGUGCCACAUGUGCCGUGACAGCAAAACCGCCCGCUCCGCGCCGCUGGUGAAAGAGCUAACGAACGCCAGGUGCUGCGACAGUGACACCGGGACUAGAAGGCCUCGGAUGGAGAAUGGGACGCCCAGAGCAAGCAGGAAAACGUUUUGUUUGGCUCAACUAGCGCUGUCGCAACCGGAAAACUGUCAGGCCAGUGCUGCUGCGGAUGUGAGAAACCGGUGAUCCGAAGGCGGAGUGGCGCUGGGCGCUGGACUCGCUGGUGUGAAAAUCUGGCUGCUCUAGGACCCGGCAAGCGCGGGCACCAGGCGAACGCCAGCGACUUUGCCAGACAAAUGCAUGUCUUUUUUGGUCGCCAUUCAAAGAUGCAGCCGGCAGUCAGCCCCGGCUCUGAGAAACAAGUGGAGGUGUCAGCCAUAAACCCUCCGUUCAGGGAAAAGAGAGUCGCUGCGACGGAUCGACUGGCCGUUGGGUGGAACUUUCUUUGGUGGCCUAGUGACUAGAAAAUAAAAACGAAAACGAAAUAAAAAACUGCUACUGACAUUACUCCCACGCUCCCUCCUCAAGUCAGUGGCUUCAGGCUUAAGAAAACCUGUAUUUUUCUUGGCUGAUCCGUGAUCCCUAAUUACUGAGGGCCCCGCGACCCACCAAGUGCGAUUCGCAGAGGGAAAGGAGCUGGAAUAAGGAUCCAGAAUGGGACGGAUUUGGCUCCUCCAGGAAGAAAGCAAAACAAAUGCAGGUCGCGAACACUUUACAUUGCAGGAAGCUGCUCUUCCAGUGGCCGCGGCUGGGUCCUUCCACACCACCUCUCUGUCCUAGGCCUUCGUCCCGGUUCAGCCCUCACGGAUUCUAGGCUAGCGGUCAACAACCGCAUCCCUCCGGAACCUGGAAACUCUAGGUCCGAGAUCUCGGUGAAGAAUGAAAGGCACAGCGCCGCUCAACCCAGGCUUCAGGCCUGCCCCGCUGGUCCCGUCCCUUCCCUGUGGGAUGGAACUCUGUGGGAAUCGCUCCUUAUUCUGAUGGUUCACUCAUUCAGAUGUCCUUGAUAUUUGGGGAUAUUUCUAAAACAGCUGGGGAGAAAAAUGGACUGCGAGGCUCCGGUGUUGGACGUGAAAUUGGCAGUGAGACAUCCGCCUCUAAGCCCAGGGAAAAGCUUAAAUUGUGGUUCUCUGUCUCUAGCACCGUGAUCUUUGAAAUGCGUUAUUGAUUUUCUUCUUUCUUCUGGGAAAUGCAAUGCAGGUGAACUUGUAAGUGUUGAAUCCUCCCUCUCCUCACUGUUCAAUCAGACUGAGGCCUACUUCCUUUCUGAUAAGAAAUAUGGAACUGCCAUUGCUCAGUAGGAAAAUGUCCUUUCUACAAGCAUUCAUAUUUCAAUAAAAAUCUGCACUUUGUGAGUUGAGCCCCCUCAAAGAGACCUACAGACCCUGCCAUGAGCAUCUCCAUCCACACUCAUCAUUUCCCAUUUUCACCACUUCUGCUCCUGUGCAAACCAGUACUAUCCUUUUCUGGGGGAUCCUAGGCAGAAGCGAUGGCAGGACAAAGGCAGAGAAGGCACUGCCAGGUCCUGCAUGCCAGUAAAACUACUCAUGUCAGCUGUUCUGCAGGAUCCCAUGAGAAGAUGGCCUAAUUGGAUUAUUUCAGCAAGCUAAGUAAUUUGAAGAGAGAGGCUAAGCCAAUGUAGUACUAGAGCUACACUG
rnacentral:lncRNA from 1 species